CACCUCCUUCGGGGCGGGGUGGAAGUCCCCACCGGCGGUGAAAGCCCGCGAAGCCCCCAAAGGGGCCCGACCCGGUGGAAUUCCGGGGCCGACGGUGAAAGUCCGGAUGGGAGAAGGAGGGC
rfam:Thermus thermophilus HB8 genomic DNA, complete genome.